GGCCGCGUGGCCUAAUGGCUAAGGCGUCAGAUUUCGGUUCACCAAAAUCCUUCUCUCUGAAGAUUCCAGGUUCGACUCCUGGCGUGGUCG
rnacentral:tRNA from 1 species